rnacentral:rRNA from 1 species
UAGGGAAUCUUCGGCAAUGGGGGGAACCCUGACCGAGCAACGCCGCGUGAGUGAAGAAGGUUUUCGGAUCGUAAAGCUCUGUUGUUAAGGAAGAACGAGUGUGAGAAUGGAAAGUUCAUGCUGUGACGGUACUUAACCAGAAAGGGACGGCUAACUACGUGCCAGCAGCCGCGGUAAUACGUAGGUCCCGAGCGUUGUCCGGAUUUAUUGGGCGUAAAGCGAGCGCAGGCGGUUAGAAAAGUCUGAAGUGAAAGGCAGUGGCUCAACCAUUGUAGGCUUUGGAAACUGGUUAACUUGAGUGCAGAAGGGGAGAGUGGAAUUCCAUGUGUAACGGUGAAAUGCGUAGAUAUAUGGAGGAACACCGGUGGCGAAAGCGGCUCUCUGGUCUGUAACUGACGCUGAGGCUCGAAAGCGUGGGGAGCGAACAGG